rnacentral:rRNA from 1 species
UACAGAGGUCUCAAGCGUUGUUCGGAUUCAUUGGGCGUAAAGGGUGCGUAGGCGGCGCGGUAAGUCGGGUGUGAAAUCUCGGAGCUUAACUCCGAAACUGCAUUCGAUACUGCCGUGCUUGAGGACUGGAGAGGAGACUGGAAUUUACGGUGUAGCGGUGAAAUGCGCAGAUAUCAGGAGAACACCCAUGGCGAAGGCAGGCUCGCUG